AGAAACAAAACCAAAAACAAACUCUUGGGACUACAUCAAACCGAGAAGCUUUUGCACAUUGAAGGAAGCCAUCAACAAAAGAUAAAGUCACAUGCAAUCUAUUGGAAAACGGAGAGGCAAUAACAAACACAGCACUAAGCUCCAUUCUGACAAGUCCUGCUCCAGCGUAUAAUCCCUACAUUGGUAUCUCUGGAUUCAAGUGACACCAUAUAUUUGCGAGAAUUGAUGAACAGCAGAUGUCCUGAGACCUGCGAAAACAUC